rnacentral:rRNA from 1 species
UGCUGGAGGUAUCAGAAGUGCGAAUGCUGACAUAAGUAACGAUAAAGCGGGUGAAAAGCCCGCUCGCCGGAAGACCAAGGGUUCCUGUCCAACGUUAAUCGGGGCAGGGUGAGUCGACCCCUAAGGCGAGGCCGAAAGGCGUAGUCGAUGGGAAACGGGUUAAUAUUCCCGUACUUGGUGUUACUGCGAAGGGGGGACGGAGAAGGCUAUGUUGGCCGGGCGACGGUUGUCCCGGUUUAAGCGUGUAGGUGUGUGUUCCAGGUAAAUCCGGUUCACUUUAACACUGAGGCGUGAUGACGAGGCACUACGGUGCUGAAGCAACAAAUGCCCUGCUUCCAGGAAAAGCCUCUAAGCAUCAGGUAACAUCAAAUCGUACCCCAAACCGACACAGGUGGUCAGGUAGAGAAUACCAAGGCGCUUGAGAGAACUCGGGUGAAGGAACUAGGCAAAAUGGUGCCGUAACUUCGGGAGAAGGCACGCUGACAUGUAGGUGAAGUGAUUUACUCAUGGAGCUGAAGUCAGUCGAAGAUACCAGCUGGCUGCAACUGUUUAUUAAAAACACAGCACUGUGCAAACACGAAAGUGGACGUAUACGGUGUGACGCCUGCCCGGUGCCGGAAGGUUAAUUGAUGGGGUCAGCGCAAGCGAAGCUCCUGAUCGAAGCCCCGGUAAACGGCGGCCGUAACUAUAACGGUCCUAAGGUAGCGAAAUUCCUUGUCGGGUAAGUUCCGACCUGCACGAAUGGCGUAAUGAUGGCCAGGCUGUCUCCACCCGAGACUCAGUGAAAUUGAACUCGCUGUGAAGAUGCAGUGUACCCGCGGCAAGACGGAAAGACCCCGUGAACCUUUACUAUAGCUUGACACUGAACAUUGAGCCUUGAUGUGUAGGAUAGGUGGGAGGCUUUGAAGUGUGGACGCCAGUCUGCAUGGAGCCGGCCUUGAAAUACCACCCUUUAAUGUUUGAUGUUCUAACGUGGACCCGUAAUCCGGGUUGCGGACAGUGUCUGGUGGGUAGUUUGACUGGGGCGGUCUCCUCCUAAAGAGUAACGGAGGAGCACGAAGGUUGGCUAAUCCUGGUCGGACAUCAGGAGGUUAGUGCAAUGGCAUAAGCCAGCUUGACUGCGAGCGUGACGGCGCGAGCAGGUGCGAAAGCAGGUCAUAGUGAUCCGGUGGUUCUGAAUGGAAGGGCCAUCGCUCAACGGAUAAAAGGUACUCCGGGGAUAACAGGCUGAUACCGCCCAAGAGUUCAUAUCGACGGCGGUGUUUGGCACCUCGAUGUCGGCUCAUCACAUCCUGGGGCUGAAGUAGGUCCCAAGGGUAUGGCUGUUCGCCAUUUAAAGUGGUACGCGAGCUGGGUUUAGAACGUCGUGAGACAGUUCGGUCCCUAUCUGCCGUGGGCGCUGGAGAACUGAGGGGGGCUGCUCCUAGUACGAGAGGACCGGAGUGGACGCAUCACUGGUGUUCGGGUUGUCAUGCCAAUGGCACUGCCCGGUAGCUAAAUGCGGAAGAGAUAAGUGCUGAAAGCAUCUAAGCACGAAACUUGCCCCGAGAUGAGUUCUCCCUGAGACUUUAGGUCUCCUGAAGGAACGUUGAAGACGACGACGUUGAUAGGCCGGGUGUGUAAGCGCAGCGAUGCGUUGAGCUAACCGGUACUAAUGAACCGUGAGGCUUAACCUUACAACGCCGAAG